UGUUGAUCUCCCGGUGCGCCCGGGGCGCCCGCGACGCCUUGCUGAAGGCCACCUUGGCGCCGACGCCCACGGCCAGGGCGAAGCUGAUGACCCCGCACACCACGGGUGACGCGUCCCCGCCGCAGCUGGAGAGGCGAGGGAGCCGAGUGGACACCCCAGCCCCAGCACGUGCCCGGCCAGCUCUUACCUAAGCCCCUCCUCCGUGCCUCGGUUUCCCCGUCUGGUGGCUGGGAGGAGGAAACGCGCUACCGGCUAGAGAACUUAGAAGAGCGCCCGGCGUAUGGCAGGUGCCAUACAUGAAAGUGUUUGCAGCUGUUCAGCCCAGGAAGCAAAUAGGAGACCGCAGUGGCUGUCAUCCCGACUGUUUCUAUGGCAACAGUCCAGCCAGGGCUGCUGUCUCAUGAGACCCUCACCGAGCUUGGCCCACAGCAGGAGGGACGCGGGCACUGAGCAAAGUCGACAAAUGCUGGCUGAGCACCUUCGUGUGCCCGGUGCUGUUCUGGAUCCCAGGGAGCCUGCAGCGAACAAACCCACAGGGUCCCUCGUCCUGAUGCGCACGCCACACUAGUCAUGGGAAAGUGACAAUGAGCAGACAAACGUGAAGUACGGGGACACGUGUUGAAGACAGUGGUUAGGAAAUUAUCAAGGAGGCCAUGGAGUCAUGAAAGCAGCAUAAGGGGGUGGAAAGGGAUGGUGAGACGAAUUUAAAAAAUAUUUGGUAUUUUCUUUAUUUUUUUUGUUCUUUUCCAUUCAGUGUGUGUGUGUGUGUGUGCAGGAACCACACCCUGUCAACAGAAUUCCAGGGCUUGUGAUGGGGAGAGGAGCAGGGGGCUGAGGCUCCCCAAGCUGUGGUCAACCUCCCCUAUCUCCCUCAAGAAAGCUCAGUGUCCUUUUAGCUCCAGCCCGGACCCCUCCCCUGAACUCCUGGGUGGGACACCCCACUGCCUAUUCAAACCUUCCACUUAGGUGUCUGAUGGGCAUCUCAGAAGUGGCUUGCCCACACUGUGGGAAACUUUGGUGGUUUCUCAAAAAGUUAAACAUAGAAUUACCUAUGACCCAGCAAUCCCACAGGUAUAUGCAGAAAAGAAAUGAAAAGCAGGGACUUGAACAUGUAUUUGCACAUCAACAGUCACAGCAGCAUUAGUCACAAUUCCCAAAAGAUGGAGGCAACCCUAGUGUCCAUCAGCCGAGGAACGGAGAAACAAAAUGUGGUUUGCACACACGGUGGGAUGUUAUUCAGGCACAGAAGGCAUGGAGGUCUGAAUCAUGUGACAAGGAUGAAGCUUGAAAACGUUACACCGAGUGGAUGAAAUCAGACACAAUCGUACAAAGGCCACGUAGUGCAUGAGGCCGUUUUUAUGAAACCUCCAGAAGACAGAUUAGCCGCUUGCCAGGGACUGGGAGGAGGGGAGAAUGGGAAGUGACUGCUUGAGGGGUAUGGGGUCUCCUUUUGGGGUGAGGAGAACGUUCUGGAACUAGAUACAGGUGGUGAUUGCUCAAUAUUGUCAAGGUACUAAAUGCCACUGAAUUGUACACUUUA